CACUCGUCAAUUGCUGUGGUGUAAAUAGUCCUACCAUGGCCAAUUUCAAGCCGCCAACCUGACAUCACCCAAGAAGGAAUUGUGAAGAUGUGGAUGAUAGCAGAGAUUUUCUAGGCUUGAAUUAUGGACUAUAAUCUCGUCCUGCUUUCGUCGCUCCAUCGCCUCACAAAUUCUCUGAGCUGGAUUAGGCCGUUUCCUUGCAGUUGGAUUAUGUAUCCAUGAAGUGAAAAAAUCUCUCUCUCUGACGGGCAUGUUAAUAAGCAGUGAGACUCAGAAACACCAACAGAACACGGUGGACGAAAGAGAGACAGAAGGAUAAGAGAACAGAGAAAUCGGAUAACAAGCUCACAAAACAAAAACAAAAAAAAAACCCAAACCAAUAGCUGACUUUUUUUAAACGAAAUGUCGGCACAAUAAUAGAAUCACAAAAUCAUAAAAGAGAAAGUUGCGCUUCUAAGUUUACAGCUUCAGUCGAGUUUUCACAUCGUCUCAAGUGAGUCGGAAAGAAAACCUAUACCACACCUGUGUAUACAGAUGGAGACCCAAACAUCAGUCCUGCUCUAUGAAGGUGUUCAGAGGUCAGUGAUGGUGUGCACCUCAAGGACCUAUGGAAGGGGAGGUCCAUUUCUGAAGGCUUUGUGAAAGUUGCAGUCUGCCCGUCCUGCCGUCUUUUACUCUAUUUCAGGCACGAUGGGGCCUCUCGGAAAUACAAAAGCUAACAAGUGGAGGGACAGUAUUAAAAUGUGCCCAAGUCUUCUGGUUGCAUAUCAGUGUCGCCAGGAUCAGACUAGAGAAAUCUGAAAUCUCUGUACACCCCCCCCCCGAAAAAAACCUAAAAAAAUCAAAAUGUCCUCAAUCUAAUUUUUCAUGGUGGGU
rnacentral:lncRNA from 1 species